CGCCUACGGGGGGCAGCAGUGGGGAAUAUUGCACAAUGGGGGAAACCCUGAUGCAGCGACGCCGCGUGAGUGAGGAAGUAUUUCGGUAUGUAAAGCUCUAUCAGCAGGGAAGAAAAUGACGGUACCUGACUAAGAAGCCCCGGCUAACUACGUGCCAGCAGCCGCGGUAAUACGUAGGGGGCAAGCGUUAUCCGGAUUUACUGGGUGUAAAGGGAGCGUAGACGGAUAAGCAAGUCUGGAGUGAAAGGUACCGGCUCAACCGGUACAGGCUCUGGAAACUGGCGGGCUAGAGAGCAGGAGAGGGC
rnacentral:rRNA from 1 species